CCUACGGGUGGCUGCAGUGGGGAAUAUUGGGCAAUGGGCGCAAGCCUGACCCAGCAACGCCGCGUGAAGGAAGAAGGCUUUCGGGUUGUAAACUUCUUUUCUCAGGGACGAAUCAAGUGCCGUUACUUGAGGAAUAAGCCACGGCUAACUACGUGCCAGCAGCCGCGGUAAUACGUAGGUGGCAAGCGUUUUCCGGAUUUACUGGGUGUAAAGGGGGUGUAGGCGGGACUGCAAGUCAGAUGUGAAAGCCACGGGCUCAACGUGUGGCGUGCAUUUGAAACUGUAGUUCUUGAGUACUGGAGAGGCAGACGGAAUUCCUAGUGUAGCGGUGAAAUGCGUAGAUAUUAGGAGGAACACCAGUGGCGAAGGCGGUCUGCUGGACAGCAACUGACGCUGAGGCGCGAAAGCGUGGGGAGCAAACAGGAUUAGAUACCCGAGUAGUC
rnacentral:rRNA from 1 species